UGGGGAAUCUUGGACAAUGGGGGCAACCCUGAUCCAGCCAUGCCGCGUGAGUGAAGAAGGCCCUAGGGUCGUAAAACUCUUUCGCCUGUGAUGAUAAUGACAGUAGCAGGUAAAGAAACCCCGGCUAACUCCGUGCCAGCAGCCGCGGUAAUACGGAGGGGGUUAGCGUUGUUCGGAAUUACUGGGCGUAAAGCGCACGUAGGCGGAUUAGAAAGUUAGAGGUGAAAUCCCAGGGCUCAACCCUGGAACUGCCUUUAAAACUACUAGUCUAGAGUUCGAGAGAGGUGAGUGGAAUUCCGAGUGUAGAGGUGAAAUUCGUAGAUAUUCGGAGGAACACCAGUGGCGAAGGCGGCUCACUGGCUCGAUACUGACGCUGAGGUGCGAAAGUGUGGGGAGCAAACAGG
rnacentral:rRNA from 1 species